UUUAACUCGUUUUGAAUUGAAACGUUGUUGUUGUUGUUAUUAUUGUUGUUGUUGUUGUGGAAUUGUUAUAAUUCAGAAUCUAAAUUUCACAUAGUUAAAUUUCUUGUUAAUCUUGAUAUGAGGAUGUGGAGGUGGAGGAUUAUGCUAGAAAGUUAGUAGGUAGGCGAGAGUUGUGUAGUUUCAAAAUUAAUAUUAUUUAGAGGGGUUCGAGGCAAAUUUGUUUAUAAGGCCUUUAUGUUGAAUUUUGAGCUGAAAUUUGUUUUUGUGAAGCUAUAUUGGGGUCUGGGGAUUAAGAUUUUUUGGUAAUAGAGUUGUUAAAUGUAUUCAAAUGGAAUUGAAUUGAUACAGAGGAUUUGUAUGGAGAGAUGUUUAACUAGUUUGGGAUUGAGACAUUAUUGUUGUUGUGGAGUUGUUCCAAUUCAGGUAGUUAAAUUUCUUGUUAAUCUUGAUAUGAGGAUAUGGAGGUGAAGGAUUAUGCUAGAAAGUUAGUAGGUAGUCGAGAGCUGUGUAGUUUCAAAUUUAAUCUUUUUUUGAAUGGAUCAAUGGGUUAAUUUGAGGAUUUAUUUAGUGGGGUUCGAGGCAAUUUUGUUUGUAGAGCGUUUACGUUGAAUUUUGAGUUGAAAUUUAUUUUGGUUAAAUGUGCCUAAAUGGAGUUUAAUGGAUAUGGAGGAUUCAUAUGGAAAUUGCUUAGCUAGUUUAGGAUUGAGAUGUCGUUGUUGAGUUCUUAUAAUUUAGAUAUCAUUUAGUGAAAUUUCUUGUUUAUCUUGGAUAAGAGGAUGUGUAGGACGAGAAUCAGGGUAGAAAGUAGGUAGUUUGAGAGUUGUUAAAUGGGCUCAAAUGGAGUUGGAUGGGAUAUAGAGGAUUUUUACUGAGAUCGCAUAGCUAGUUUGAGAACGAGACGUUUUUUUUGUGCAGUUCUUCUAAUUUAGAUAACAUUUAGCAAAUUCUCUUGUUAAUCUUAGAUAUGAGAUAUGAGAGAUGAGAAUAUGGAGGUGAAGGUAGUUGAGAGUUGUAUAGUGUUUCUCUUUUCAGUAGCAUAAUUAUUAAUUACUCUUUUAACUUAUCUUAGAGUUCAAUGGAUUUAGAGGAUUCAUAUGGAGAUUCCUUAAGAACAUGCAAAUUGCUCCGCCUAAGCAGAGAGAGAGAAGAGAGAAACAAAAAAAGUACGGCAAAAGCAAAAAGCAUUAGCAACGACCCCCCACACUGUACCAUUCUGCAGGUGAUAGGCAUGCCAAUGAUGAAGUAGUUCUUAAACCAGUCCCCAUUUAUUUCAUCAGCCAUGAAUCUCAACUUCUGGACUCAUUUCUCUACCCUUCCCCAAAAAAUGAGUUGGUUGUUGGACUUGACUGCAAGGGUGUUGACCUUGGUAGAUACGGAGCUCUCUGUAUUUUGCAGGUUUGUUUCAGUUCUCACAUGUUCUGAGUAGAUGCCAACUUCGUGCCUCGCUUGAUUUCCAAUACUAUGAUGUUAUGAUGUUAUUCAAUAGUAGCUUUGCAUUAUACUAUCAGUUUGGUAUCAAGUUGCACAAUGUUAUGGAUACCCAGGUUAGCUUCUGGUGCUUUCUUUCGAGCCACUUGACUACUAGUUUCUCCUGUUAUCACGUGCAAUACUUUUUAACAAAAGUAAUAAGUGAUUCACGCAUUACUCUCCUGCUGUUUAAUCUGGCUCUUUGAAUACUGAUUGCGUGUUUUCGUUUCUACAACCUCAUACGUAUGACGUCUUUCUUAUUAUUGUUCACCGGAUUGUUCUGAUUUCCCAGCCGUGAUAGUUUUGAUUUCUAGUCGGGGUUUGCUAGUAUAUAUUCUCGUUAUAUUUUGUUAAAUUUACUCCGUCUAAAAAAGAGCCGGGAGUCUAUCGGAAACAACCUCUCUACUUCUUCGGAUUCGGAGGUAGCUGUAUGGACUGCGUACAUUCUACCUUCCCCAGACCCCACUUUGUGGGAAUACACUGGGUUUGUUGUUGUUGUUGUUGUUGUAUAUGGAGAUUCCUUAACUAGUUUGGAAUUGAGAUUUUGCUGCGGUGGUGGUGGAGUUCUGAUUAGAUUUUCAUUUAGCAAACUUUCUUGUUUAUGAUAGGAGAAUGUGGAGGUUGAGUAUUAGGGUAGAAAGUUAGUAGGCAGCCGAGAGUUGCUAAAUGUACAUAUAUAGAGUUUAAUGGAUAUCAAGGAUUCAUAUGGAGAUUGCUUAACUAGUUUGGAAUCGAGACGCUGUUGUUGAGUUCUUCUAAUUUAGAUAUACAACAUCAUACCUAGUGUAAUCGCACAAAGUGGAGUUUGGGGAGGAUAGAGUGUACGCAGAUCAUAUAUCGACCUCAGAGGUAGAGAGGCCUUUUUUUGAUAAACCCUCAGCUCAAGAAUUCUAAUUUAGAUAUCAUUUAUCAAAUUUCUUGUUAAUCUAGAUGUGUGGAUGCAAAGGUCGAGGAUUAGGGCAAAAACUUAGUAAGUAGUGGAAGUUAUUAAAUGUGCCCAAAUGGAGUUCAACGGAUAUAGAGGGUUUGUAUGGAGAUUGGUUGACUAGUUUGGGAUCGAGAUGUUGUGGUUUUCUCGGGGAGUUCUAAUUUAGAUAUCAUUUAAUGAAAUUUCUUGUUAAUCUUAGAUAUAUGGAUGUGAGGUCGAGAAUUAGGAUAGAAAGGUAGUAGGUACUCUGAGUUGUAUAGUUUUUUUUUUUUUUUUAAAUUAUUAUUAAAUUACUCUUUUUACUAUCUUAGAGUUCAAUGGAUAUAGAGGAUUCAUAUGGAGAUGCUUAGCUAGUUUGGGAUCGAGACAUUGUUGUUUCUUCGUGGAGUUCUUCUAAUUUAGAUAUUGUUUGGUAAAAUUUCUUGUUCAUCUUGGAUAUGAGGAUGUGGAGGUCGAGUAUUAGGGUAGAAAGUUAGUAGGUAGUCGAGAAUUGCUAAAUGUGCCCAAGGGGAGUUGAAUGGAUAUAGAGGAUUCAGAUGGAGAUUGCUUAACUAGUUUUGGAUCGAGAUGUUGUUGAUGUGGAGUUCUUCUAAUUUGGAUUCUCAUUUAGCGAAAUUUCUUGUUAAUCUAGAUAUGAGGAUGUGGAAGUCGAGAAUUAGGGUAGAAAGUUUGUAGGUUGUCAAGAGUUAUAUGGUUUCUCUUUUAAGUAUUAUUAUAACUAUUUUUACUAUCUUAAGUUCAAUGGAUAUAGAGGAUUCAUGUGGAAAUGGUUAGCUAGUUUGGGAUCGAGACGUUGUUGCUGUGGAGUUGUUCUAAUUUAGAUAUCAUUUAGCAAAAUUUCUUUCUAAUUUUAGAUAUGAGGAUUUGGAGUUCGAGGAUUAGGGUGGAAAGCUAGCCGGUAGUCCAGAGCUGUAUAGUUUCUCUUUUCAGUAUUGUUAUUACUCUUUUUACUAUCUUGGUGUUCGAUUUCUUGUUACCCUGCAUUUACUUUCACCCUGACCGUUUGUUAUUGCUACGGUUCUUUUCUUCAUUAUUUUCUAAUUAUAUGGAGAUUCCUUAACUAGUUUGGAAUUGAGAUUUUGCUGCGGUGGUGGUGGAGUUCUGAUUAGAUUUUCAUUUAGCAAACUUUCUUGUUUAUGAUAGGAGAAUGUGGAGGUUGAGUAUUAGGGUAGAAAGUUAGUAGGCAGCCGAGAGUUGCUAAAUGUACAUAUAUAGAGUUUAAUGGAUAUCAAGGAUUCAUAUGGAGAUUGCUUAACUAGUUUGGAAUCGAGACGCUGUUGUUGAGUUCUUCUAAUUUAGAUAUACAACAUCAUACCUAGUGUAAUCGCACAAAGUGGAGUUUGGGGAGGAUAGAGUGUACGCAGAUCAUAUAUCGACCUCAGAGGUAGAGAGGCCUUUUUUUGAUAAACCCUCAGCUCAAGAAUUCUAAUUUAGAUAUCAUUUAUCAAAUUUCUUGUUAAUCUAGAUGUGUGGAUGCAAAGGUCGAGGAUUAGGGCAAAAACUUAGUAAGUAGUGGAAGUUAUUAAAUGUGCCCAAAUGGAGUUCAACGGAUAUAG
rnacentral:lncRNA from 1 species